AACGCUAGCUACAGGCUUAACACAUGCAAGUCGAGGGGCAGCAUUGGAGUAGCAAUACUUCAGAUGGCGACCGGCGCACGGGUGAGUAACACGUAUCCAACCUGCCGCUUACUCGGGGAUAGCCUUUCGAAAGAAGGAUUAAUACCCGAUGGUAUAAAGAGUUCGCAUGUUCUCUUUAUUAAAGAAUUUCGGUAAGCGAUGGGGAUGCGUUCCAUUAGAUUGUUGGCGGGGUAACGGCCCACCAAGUCUACGAUGGAUAGGGGUUCUGAGAGGAAGGUCCCCCACAUUGGAACUGAGACACGGUCCAAGCUCCUACGGGAGGCAGCAGUGAGGAAUAUUGGUCAAUGGACGCGAGUCUGAACCAGCCAAGUAGCGUGAAGGAUGACUGCCCUAUGGGUUGUAAACUUCUUUUAUAAGGGAAUAAAGUGAGGGACGUGUCCCUUUUUGUAUGUACCUUAUGAAUAAGGAUCGGCUAACUCCGUGCCAGCAGCCGCGGUAAUACGGAGGAUCCAAGCGUUAUCCGGAUUUAUUGGGUUUAAAGGGAGCGUAGGUUGACAUAUAAGUCAGCUGUGAAAGUUUACGGCUCAACCGUGAAAUUGCAGUUGAUACUGUAUGUCUUGAGUGUACAAGAGGUGGGCGGAAUUCGUGGUGUAGCGGUGAAAUGCUUAGAUAUCACGAAGAACUCCGAUUG
rnacentral:rRNA from 1 species